AAUUUUGAGUGGAAAAAACGUCUUCCAGGGGUGUGUGCCUCAGCUACCAAGGAGCGUCUGGGAAGGCGGGCGGAGCCUGAAGGGGGCGGUGCGUUUGGUCAUUCAUUGGGCUUAGGGGCUGUCAAUCAAGCUUGCCCAGCAAAUGAGGUGCGAGCUAAAGGCACACUGGGAACUAAAUUAACGGGAGGUCUGACUGCGAGGGGAGGGGGCCGGCGAUCUAAACUGCGAAGAGAACUUUGGGGUCUCGCACCGCGCUCUUGGGCUGCGGCGCGCCUCUCUCCGCCACAGCUGCAGCCUGGAGAGGCCUUGCCAUCGCCGCUCUCGCCCAGGCCUCCGCUGCCGCUGUCACCUCAGCGCGAUCGCCGCAGCCCAGCCCCGCCCCUCGCUACUGCUGCCUCCGCCGCUGCCACCUCCUCAGCCUGGACCGCCGCCGCCACCCAUGCAUCCCUUUGAAUGGGGCCAACUGUUUGCUGAAGUGUGAUGUGUGAAGAUGUCAGAGGAAAUGAGCUUAAGCGUCUCAGGAGCUUCAAUUCAGGUUUGUCUCAUAUCAUUCUCUCUCCAAAUUGUAAUAUCUUCUGCUGGAGGCCGUUUCUCUCCUCGAUUUAUGGUGGUCUCUCCUUCCUCAGCCCUCAUCAUCGCCAGCUUUGGAAUGAGCAGUAGGUCAGCAUGACUCACUGAAAUGCCUUAGAGUUAGAGGUGUUCUGUGGGGAUCUUGUAGUUAAUUUCUGCUCAACUGACUGGCCUGCAUGUGUAGAGUUGCUUGUUGCUUGUCUCUCUCCUCAUAUUGAAGCAGUCUCCAGAAGCUCUCAGAAAAGGAAGAUGAUUUGCUGGUAUAAUUUCUCCUUUACUUCUGCUCCCCUUUUGUUUUGUGUUACCGAGCCGUUUUCCUAAGAGAUCAUUUCUUGCUGCUUUGACUGUCUACCACAGACCUAAAUCAAAUGUUCAGGGCUUGAAGGCUUAAGGGAAUCUGUCUGCUGCCUGAGACCUGUGAAAGCAAGCAUUCACUCAGAGUCCUGCACUUUUUUGGUUCAAAUUUCAUUGUAACUGGAAGAUAUUCUUUCCAAUGUGUGGCUUGGAAUUGUGGCUAUUUCUUUGACUUGAAGUUCAUUUCUGCCUUUAUUUUUUAUUUAGAUGAUUCUGAUGCACAGGCAGGAUUGAGAACCACAAAGCAAUGUAGAGGGGAAUCUCCAAGAGGGGAGUAUGUAGUGUUCAGUUUAUUAACAGUUCUCCUAACUGAAUAGUAUUCCUGAAAUAACAGUUUGGUGAAUUUGGCUUUGGCCAAAUAGGUAAAUUAGCCCAGCUUCGUCUAUUGGUAAAAGCAUCCUUAAUCAACAUUUUAAAAGACUUUUUAUUUAGAGACAAUUAAAGACUCACAGAAAGUUGCAAAAAUAGUACAGAAAGGUCCUGUGUACCCUACACCCAACUGCUCCUAAUGGUAACACCUUGCAUGACUGUAAUACAAUAACCAAACCAGGACAUUAACAUUGGGACAUCUACAGACCUCAUUCAGAUUUUGCCAGAUUUUGCAUGCAUUCCUGUGUAUAUGUGUGCAUGUGUGUAUCUCUAUGCAGUUUUACCACAUGUUUAGAUUCAUGGAACUCCCACUACAAUCAAGAUUCAGAACUGUUCCAUGACCACAAAGAAACUCCCUCGUACUAAGCUCCUCCCUCCUGUCCCUAACUUCUGGAAACCAUUAAUUUGUUCCCAUUCUUGAAAGGAAAAAAUUAUACAGAUGGUUAUAUAAAUGAAAUUAUACAGUAUGUAACCUUUUGAGAUUGGCCUGUUUUCGCUUAGCAAAAUAACCUUAAAAUCCAUCCAAGUUGUACCUGAAUCAAUAAGUUGUUCUUUGUUUUGCUAGGUAGUAUUCCAGCGUGUUAAUCACUGAUCUGUGACUAUUCUAUUGGAGAAUAAAACCAGGUGGAAAGGAAACA
rnacentral:lncRNA from 1 species